rnacentral:lncRNA from 1 species
GUAGGAGGUGGUAUGGUCCCGCCGUCGGUGAUGUAGACAACUGGAGAGUUGUCAAAUCACCGGAGGUUGUCACGUUAUUGACGAGCUGACAGAUCCUAGGAAUUAAUUUGCAUUCUUGGCAGAACAGCGCCCAGGUUUCCUGACAGGACAAUGCCCCCCGGCGUUCGUACGGCAUUUGCUUGAUAAGACUGCAGCCCAUGCCGCUCAUUUGGCGUCUAGAAGGGCCUGUAGAGGUAGGACGUCAGUUG